rnacentral:rRNA from 1 species
UACAGAGGUCUCAAGCGUUGUUCGGAUUCAUUGGGCGUAAAGGGUGCGUAGGCGGCGCGGUAAGUCGGGGGUGAAAUCUCGGAGCUUAACUUCGAAACUGCAUUCGAUACUGCCGUGCUUGAGGACUGGAGAGGAGACUGGAAUUUACGGUGUAGCGGUGAAAUGCGUAGAUAUCGUAAGGAAGACCAGUGGCGAAGGCGGGUCUCUGGACAGUUCCUGACGCUGAGGCACGAAGGUCAGGGGAGCAAACGGG